UACAGAGGGUGCUAGCGUUAAUCGGAAUUACUGGGCGUAAAGCGCGCGUAGGCGGCUUUGCAAGUCGGGUGUGAAAUCCCCAGGCUUAACCUGGGAACUGCAUUCGAGACUGCAUUGCUAGAGUAUGGGAGAGGGAAGUGGAAUUUCCGGUGUAGCGGUGAAAUGCGUAGAUAUCGGAAGGAACAUCAGUGGCGAAAGCGACUUCCUGGACCAAUACUGACGCUCAUGUGCGAAAGCGUGGGGAGCAAACAGG
rnacentral:rRNA from 1 species